rnacentral:lncRNA from 1 species
GGCUAAUUAAUUCAUCCAUGACAUACAAAUAUAUCAUUGACUUAUUUAAUAUUUGUCUAAAAAUUAAAUUUAUUUUUAAAUUUCUAAUAUAUGUUUCUUUUUUGCUUCCCUUUUCUUGUAGGGUCCUGAAAAUCAUACUUGUUUUGUUUCCUUUGUUUUUCUACAAUAAGCAUAAUCAUGUUUGUUAUUUGAAAUGGAUCGAUUCUUAUCGGAAUUUCUUGUAGGUAUAUUAUGGGGUGUCAAGUCUGGCGUGUGGGUGUAGCAUCAAUUUUAUUUUUGCUAAAUAGUGGAUUGCAAUACAUGAUGAAUUUUAUAAUUAUGUUUCAAGCACAAAACAAGCAACAUCAUUCCC